GGCCUUAUGGUCUAGUAGCAUGAUUCUUCCUUUGGGGAUUUGUAAUCUCUUAAUUGGAAGAGGUCCUGGGUUCAAUUCCCAGUGAGGCCC